AUAUAAAAUAAAAAAUGUUGGGCAAAGGAGAAAAUAAUAUGAAAGUUUUCAUUGUUGUUUAUUAGGAAAUCAGUCCUUUAAGAAAGACUGGCAUUAUAAUCAUGCAAUAAUUAUUAAUGUUUUAGUUAAUGAAACUAGUCAUAAUUUUUUUCAAGUAUUAUAUAACAUAAUUUUAUCACUUGUUACUAAGCAGUGAAGUUAUACUGGGUUAGAUGUCACUGCUUUUAUAUAACCCACUUAUUUUUAUAUUUACAUUUUAGGUUAUGAGUGUAUGAAACCACGACACACAGGGGAAGGGGUAUUCCUAAACUAUUGUCCAAUCCAAUGUCUAACCUUAGCCCAUUCCAGCCACCAGUGAACUUCAUCAACACCAUCAUUGCCAUCCUUUCAGAGUGACCAUUCUAGUCCAGUACUUGACAAAGGAAAUAAAUGACAUUAUCAGUAGGGAAAAUAAGGACAGGUGUCACUGGAUAUAUCCACUCUAAAUGGAGCCCCAAGCAUUGUAAUUCAGUUUAAUCCUAAAGGUGUUGUUAUAUGUUACAAGCCAGUCGUGCAGUCUACAGAUGCUAUUGAUAUAGUGAUGCUGGAGGAGUGAUAGUCCAGAGAUAGGGACCUAAGUGUGGAUCUCAUGAAGUCAGUGUUUGAGGGGAGAGGAAGGAGUGAGUGAAUCCAGUUAGGAGUUUGGAACCUGAGGGUAAUGCUGAGGGGCCAUUUAGGGUUGUUUAGGGAUGGGCUGAGCUGCAGAAGUUGUGGGGACCACACGUCCAGAGGAACUGGAGAGAAACUGAAGGAGAGUGUUUAUUUACACAGGCACAUCUCGGGGAGCCACUGGGUCAGGAAUCUGAUAUAUUUGGAGAGAGUAGUUUAAUUCUGGGGCAUGGGGUAAAUUUGGUGCCAGUAGAGAAGGGACCUGGGAAUUGAGAGAGUUCAACCUAGAUUUGGUAGAGGACAUAGCUGAAACCAAAGGAAAAGUUGCAAACCCCAGAAUCAGCAUUUAAGGAUGAGCCAGUAGCCAACAGGGAGAUGAAUCAGGAAAAUAGCUGAUAUAUGGAGCUGGCGCUGGGCUAGCCUUGGUUGUAGGUUAAUCAGUUUUCUAACUUUGGCACAAUCAGUAUGUCUUUACUCCAAAGCAAGUAUUAUUCUUCGUAAGAGCUACAUUGUGAUGUACUGGGUACGGAGAAAUAAAAGGUUAAGUCCUGUUGGCAAAAAUUUCAAUGAAAUAAUGUUCCAAAUACCCCAAGUAACCCUGUUUUCCAAGGUGGUGAUAACUAAGUGGGUACCCGAGUCACAUCAAGUCUCAGGACCUGACCAGCAGCAGAUUUCUGGAUCUGCACAUUCUCGACACAUCUUCCGAUGCUUGUGAGGUCAGGGAAAGGACUUCAUCAGGCUCGGCCAGCCAUCCUCUCUCCCUGCACACACGGUGCACGUGUUCCUAUCUGUCUGUGCUGGCAGAGUCCACAGGAGACCAUCAGUGGCAAGACCAUACUUUUUUGUACAUUACAUGAUUCCUACUUCAGAAAGCUCUAACUUAAGGAAGUUCAUCUAUAGGUUGAGCCACAAUAUUCUUCCUUGUAACUUGCCUUGUUCCUGGUUCUUUUUUCUGAAGUUCCUCAUUAGAAGUCGAAUUCCUAUUUUAAAGUAUCCACCCCUUUUAAUUCAUCUUGAAAAGUUGCUUCUUUCCUAAACUUCAGGGCAAAAAUGAAUCCCCAGCCUCCAGCUUAAUCCAGUUAUAGAGGUUCAUUGUUUAUCAAAUUGAAUAACUUUUUAGUAUCCUCCUGUCUGUGUCACAUCCCCACUUCCUCAUCACAUCCAGCUCUCCGUCCUGCUUGCAUUCCUCCUGACAUCCACCAGCCUGUCCUUGCUGGCCUCGGUGUGGCCCACAUGUGCCCACAACAGAGACCCUGCUCUUGACGUCCUCUAUUCCAAGGGGAUAAUAAGGUUUUUGGCAGCCAUUCUGUUUUAUUGGUUUAUAUAAAACUUCAUAAGCUAAAAUCUCUUCAUCCUUCUUCCCCAAACUGUACUUAUUUUUUUUAACCAAAAUAUAAGACUGCAGUUGUCUUUCUCCAAUUUCAUGAGCUCCUUUGUCAUUUUUCCAUUGUAGUGUACACACACUGUGUCCUGACAUAACAUGUGCAGCAAGCAUUACAUUGCUGCUGAUGUUGAGAUGAAGGCUUGUAUCAGUGGGUGUCGUUGUGAUGUGAUGAAGGGAGAGUGGUGAAUUUAGUCAGGGUUGGUUUCAUGGAGGAGAGGCGUGUUGAGCCGUGACUGGAAGGAAGGAAGGAAUAUGUCUGGGAGAAGGAUGGGCUGCUGGGGUGGAUGUAGUGUCUUGUCCAGGGCUUUCAUGGCUGGACGGUGUGACCUCAUCUGCGUUCUCAGCAUUGGUCUUCAAGUUGCAGUUCUUGAAACAUGAUUUCAUCAAUAGCUAGGGAGAAUCUGACAAAGCCGUAAUCACUAAAAUUUGUGAGAUAAUUACAUAGAUCAUAGUGUUUUUCCUUUAAAUUGAGAAAUAUUGUCAAGCAGACUGGGAUACUCAUGUCAGCAGUCAACACAUUUUCUUGUAGAAAAGCUACUUGUGAAGCCAAGUUAUAAUCAGAAUGUUGCUUUCUGAGUUUAAAACCGGAAGAGAGUAAGUGAGUUGAACUUAAGAGAAAGUCCUGACUCUGAUAGCCUGGGCCAUAACCUGCAGCUUUAGGCCCCACCCAGUGGCCUAGGACUGUGGACGUGGGACUCCAGGAUGCCUCCUACCCUGAGUGCAGCUGAAGGUUGCCUUUUCUCAUGCCCCGUGAGGUUGUCGUUCUUCGCUUUCCCUAUCCUAGAAUUGUGUCAGUUCCACCGUGGGGGGCAACCGGCACAGUCAGCCCACGCCCCUCAGCCAGCCGUGAGUCAGCCCCGUCGCCCUUUCCGUAGGCAGAUGCUUCACUCGCGGCCAGCUUAUUUGGGAGGUGUUGCAUUUUUUAAUUACGUUAACUUACGGGGUUUUUUGGAAUAAUUCACUCUCUUCUCUCUGUUGUCUUCCUAGUGGAGCAUUCUAGAUGAGGGAUUGAAUUUUGAAAUUGUUCUAAGGAAUAAACAGGAGAGGGUUACAAUCUGUUAUUCUUAAUAGAGAUUAGGAACUUGAAAAUGUCAGUUUGUGUAAACAUAAAGAUAUUUAUGUAGUAAGUAUCUAAUUAGUGAAUUCCCUGGAUGUCAGCAUUGACAGUUCCUAUUUUAUUCACUGAAUAAUUUCAAGGUGAGUUCUAUUAUGAGAGGAAGGAAGGUAGACAGUGCCGUAAUGGGAAGCUCUUUACAGACUGGGCGGGGAUUUUAAAACUCUCUGAGCCUGUUUUAUUUCCAUAGAAUGUGUUAUGGUACAGAUCUUCAAGAUGUGAUGAGGUCAUGUUUGUAAAGCUCCACCUCUGGCAUAUGCUGUGUACUCAACAAGCGGCAGCCCUCCAGGGUAAGAGUACUUCUAGGGGAAAGUGAUGAUUUGUGGUUUUUGAUGAAGAGUUUAGAAUGCCUUUCCCACCUCUGCUUCCUUGUUAGCUGGCAGAGGGACACAUGUUUUAAGAUGAACUGAAGCCACCGCCUGUGUUUUGAAGCCUUCUAGGAACUGCUCAGGUAUUUGUGAGCUCUCGCUUGUUUGGAGAACCAUAACCCACGUCUCACUUACACUGUGAAGUGGUCUAAAAAUGUUCGUCUUCACCUACGGGACUCUGGACGUCUUUGAGUAUUCAUUCCUUCAUUCUUUCAUUAUGUAUUAAGGUCCUUAUUAUAGAUGAGGCUGAUGUAAGUGCCUGCGAUAAAACAGUGGAAAAGAUCAGCAAAAGAGAACACUGUCGUCGUUGUCAUCAUUUAUUGAGUGUGGGUUAGGGAUGUCAGAAAACACAAAUAAAUGAAUUAGAAGGUUGGUUAAGAUAAAGGUUAAGUAAGUGUUCUAAAGGUGAGAAAGCAGGAUUUGGGUCUCAGGGUUGCAGGGAGAUUAUUUUGAGUUGCCUCCUCACAGUGGGCCUGUCGAGGAGGGAGCACCUGAGCUGCAUUGGCCAUGAGGAGGAGCCCCGUCAUAUACACACCUGAGCUGCAUUGGGUUUGACGAGGAGUCCACCAUGCACACUCCUGAGCUGCAUUGGCCAUGAUGAGGAGCCCGGUCAUAUACACACCUGAGCUGCAUUGGGUUUGACGAGGAGUCCAUCAUGCAUACACCUGAGACACAAGCGAUGCAGGCAGAGGGUGAGUAGACUGGGGCUCUCAGACAUGAGCAAGCUUUGCCUGUCUAAGCCCUCACUGAUGGUGUCAUAUAAACAUUGGCAUAAAGGGACUGAGUGAAUAGAAUCAUAGCUAGCAAAAAGCGUUCUGCACUAAUUUUGGCAUGUGACAAUAGGGUCUGAAAUCAAAGAUUUUAGCAAAGGUCUUGGUUCCUCAUCAUUUUCAGUGAGGAAGUCACUGGGCAUGUGACUUCUAAGAGGAAGGGGACACCCAUGCGCACACAAAAACUCUUUCAAUAAUUGCAGGGUUGACAGGUGGAUAGGAUUUGAAUGGAGAGGUGGAAGUUACUGGACACUUGGAUGAUGCCUUUAAUAACUUUUCUUCUUCCACAAUGCCAAGUUUAUUUUGUUCUUCAUUACAUUUUACUUAACUGAACAUUUUCUGAGACCAGGACUUGAGAAUGUUUGUAUAUAACCUACUUUUCAUAAAGUCUAGUCUUUCAUCUUUUCUGUGUAACCUCAAAGAGAGUCUUAAGACACAGUGUUUAAUACUAUAAGAUAAUAUUUGUAUUUCAUACCUUGUCCUCCAGAUAGAUUUUCCAUUUCAAAAGAACUGUUCAAGAUCACAACACUUCACAAAUGUAGGUGCUAAAUUUUGAAUUUAAAUUAGACCAUCAUCAUCAGUAUUGUCAUGACAAUCAUUGUUUAAGAGGCAGCAGGAUAAAAACUUCCUUUCUACUGGGAAGUAGUGGUUUGAAUUUGGACUCUGGCUCCUAAGUCUCCUUUUAGUCCUCCUGAUUCUAACAUCCACCCUUCUGCUUCUGGGACAAUUUCUCCUUUUUAACUUGCAUGCAACCAUCAUGCCAUUGAACUUGUAUGUGUCUGUCUUUCUGAGUUUAUUCUUUGUAGCAUCCUUUUGUUCUGUUGAGGUUGUGUUUCUAUGUAUCUUGAAUUUUUUUCUGUGCCCACUUAGAGAAAACUUGCCAAUUUUGACAUCUCUAAACGGAAUACACUUGGGAACUUGGGAAUGCCUUUGUUAUCCUUCCAGGCAAGAUCUUCCCAGCAGAGUUCUACUUUAAUUAGCUUGAUUUCAGCACAGUUUGUAAUUCCUGGAUUUAAGCACAAAUCUGAUAAAUUAUGUAUUUGAUACAUGAAGUGAAACGUAUAAAGGUUGAAAUUUUUAGGAUUUGAGCCUUCUCCAGAAGUGAGAAAUGAUUAAAAUCACAGACAUGGUGACAUUGAAGAUGGCAUAAUGACCCUAAAUAGUCAUCCUAUGUUGUUGAAAUGAGUAGACAUUCCUAUGGGAGUUGCAUCCAACAGUGUGGCUUCUUUAUGCAAACUUCAGGGCCUACGCUUAGUGUGCAUUUGUAUAACUCAUUUAACCAAUUACUAAUAUCACAAGUGCUUUCACCCCAUUUUCUAGUGGCUUUAUAUUCUCUGAUUUUGUAUAAUUGAAGAUCAGUGGUUUUCUCUGAAGUUUGAAAUCCUAAUGCAAGUACCGUGUUCAUUUAGGUAAAAGUGCCUCUUUUUGGCACUUUUAGGAUUAUUGUGAAGUGAAAUGAGAUGACAAAUGUAGAGGACUGGGUGGAGGGAUAGGAGAAGGUCCUGAGUCAGUGCUUGGUGGAGGGAUAGGAGAAGGUCCUGAGUCAGUGCUUGGUGGAGGGAUAGGAGAAGGUCCUGAGUCAGUGCUGGGUGGAGGGAUAGGAGAAGGUCCUGAGUCAGUGCUUGGUGGAGGGAUAGGAGAAGGUCCUGAGUCAGUGCUUGGUGGAGGGAUAGGAGAAGGUCCUGAGUGUGGACUGGGUGGAGGGAUAGGAGAAGGUCCUGAGUCAGUGCUUGGUGGAGGGAUAGGAGAAGGUCCUGAGUGAGUGCUUGGUGGAGGGAUAGGAGAAGGUCCUGAGUGAGUGCUUGGUGGAGGGAUAGGAGAAGGUCCUGAGUGUGGACUGGGUGGAGGGAUAGGAGAAGGUCCUGAGUCAGUGCUGGGUGGAGGGAUAGGAGAAGGUCCUGAGUGAGUGCUUGGUGGAGGGAUAGGAGAAGGUCCUGAGUGAGUGCUUGGUGGAGGGAUAGGAGAAGGUCCUGAGUGUGGACUGGGUGGAGGGAUAGGAGAAGGUCCUGAGUGUGGACUGGGUGGAGGGA